GAAUAUUGCGCAAUGGCCGCAAGGCUGACGCAGCGACGCCGCGUGGGGGAGGAAGGCCUUCGGGUUGUAAACCCCUGUUGCCCGGGACGAACCGCCUCAUUUGUGCGGUUUGACGGUACCGGGUGAGGAAGCACCGGCUAACUCCGUGCCAGCAGCCGCGGUAAUACGGAGGGUGCGAGCGUUGUCCGGAAUCACUGGGCGUAAAGGGCGCGUAGGCGGCCUGGUAAGCGUGCGGUGAAAGCCCGGGGCUCAACCCCGGGUCUGCCGUGCGAACUGCUGGGCUUGAGCACUGUAGAGGCAGGUGGAAUUCCGGGUGUAGCGGUGGAAUGCGUAGAGAUCCGGAGGAACAUCGGUGGCGAAGGCGGCCUGCUGGGCAGUGGCUGACGCUGAGGCGCGACAGCGUGGGGAGCAAACAG
rnacentral:rRNA from 1 species